UGGCGGACGGGUGAGUAAUGUCUGGGAAACUGCCCGAUGGAGGGGGAUAACUACUGGAAACGGUAGCUAAUACCGCAUAACGUCGCAAGACCAAAGAGGGGGACCUUCGGGCCUCUUGCCAUCGGAUGUGCCCAGAUGGGAUUAGCUAGUAGGUGGGGUAACGGCUCACCUAGGCGACGAUCCCUAGCUGGUCUGAGAGGAUGACCGGCCACACUGGAACUGAGACACGGUCCAG
rnacentral:rRNA from 1 species